rnacentral:rRNA from 1 species
GGAUUAGAUACCCUGGUAGUCCACGCCGUAAACGAUGUCUACUAGCCGUUGGGGUCCUUGAGGCCUUAGUGGCGCAGCUAACGCACUAAGUAGACCGCCUGGGGAGUACGGCCGCAAGGUUAAAACUCAAAUGAAUUGACGGGGGCCCGCACAAGCGGUGGAGCAUGUGGUUUAAUUCGAUGCAACGCGAAGAACCUUACCAGCUCUUGACAUGCAGAGAACUUUCUAGAGAUAGAUUGGUGCCUUCGGGAACUCUGACACAGGUGCUGCAUGGCCGUCGUCAGCUCGUGCUG